rnacentral:rRNA from 1 species
CCUACGGGUGGCAGCAGUCGAGAAUCAUUCACAAUGGGGGAAACCCUGAUGGUGCGACGCCGCGUGGGGGAAUGAAGGUCUUCGGAUUGUAAAGUUCUGUGAUGGGGGAUGAACACAAUGACGGUACCCCAAUAGCAAGCCACGGCUAACUACGUGCCAGCAGCCGCGGUAAUACGUAGGUGGCAAGCGUUAUCCGGAAUGACUGGGCGUAAAGGGUGCGUAGGUGGUUUAGUAAGUUGGCGGUGUAAUUCCGGGGCUCAACCUCGGCGCUACCGCCAAAACUAUUAGACUAGAGUGCAGGAGGGGUAAGUGGAAUUCCUAGUGUAGCGGUGGAAUGCGUAGAUAUUAGGAGGAACAUCAGGGGCGAAGGCGACUUACUGGACUGUAACUGACACUGAGGCACGAAAGCGUGGGGAGCAAACAGGAUUAGAUACCCCAGUAGUC